AUGAUGAGGGUGAUACACCAGUUUGACUCCCUUCACACAUCUAGUCUCCAUUGGCUCAACUCCGCAAAUGUAGUCAUUCUGUUAAAUGGGGUGGCUGGCAACCCCAUCAAGCACGGUAGGGGCCUUCGACAGGGGGACCCCCUGUCCCCACUCCUUUUUGUCAUUGCAAUUGGCACACUCCAACAACUACUGGAGCUGACAACCCAAAAAGGACUACUCCACAAAAUUCAUGGGAGAGGGAUCAUGGUGCGAACUUCACUCUAUGCAGACGAUGCGGUUGUUUUCAUGGCUCCAAUCAAAAAAGAUAUUGACAACCUCUCAGCCAUUUUGCGCGGACUCGGGGAGGUCACCGGACUAUGCACCAAUUUUCACAAGAGCUCGGUUGUGCCCAUUCGAUGCAAUCACCUAAACCUGGAGCACACUCUGCAAGGAUUGCCGGCUAACAGGGCGUCCUUCCCCAUAAGAUACUUGGGCCAUCCAUUGUCCGUCUGGCAGCUUAAGAAGGUGGAUUUGCAAUUUCUUGAGGACAAGAUUGCGGGCAAGUUGGUGACAUAUGAGGGGCAAAACAUCAUCACCAUUGGACGAACAACCCUUGUUAAGUCUGUCACCACCUUGCAAGCGGUCUAUUUCAUCACAUCAUUGGUCAUACCGUCGGGCAUUCUUCAUAAUAUCAACAAACUGGAGCGGGCUUUCCUUUGGUCGGGAUCGGAUAAGACGACGGGCGCCAAGUGCAAGCCUAAGGAUGUUGCCCCGCUCGUCUUUGCGGCCUCCUCAAGGAAGAAUUGGAAGGUGCGGGAGGCCCUACAGAAUAAUACAUGGAUCCUCAAGAUCAACACCUCCACGGUUGUCUCCGUUGAACACAUCCGACAAAUCUUCACCCUAUGGGCACUUGUGAAUGAUGUGCAUCUGGAUGCACUCUCGGAAGAUACUAUUGUGUGGAAGCAUACGACAAGCGGGCACUACACUGCGAAAAAAGAAAGGCUGCGAACGGUUCCAGAGUAUCGGCGGCGAAGAAUACGGGAGACGGCGGCGUGGUGCUCAGAUUUGGGGCGGUCUGGCUGGCGAGGCGCUGUGCUACUCGGCGACGUGGUCUCGACGCUGGUGCGGCCUGCUGUGCGCCGUCUGCCUAGGUCUUGGGCGGCGCUGUGCGCGGAGCUGUGGCUGGCGAUCGCGGCGGCGCUGUAG
rnacentral:rRNA from 1 species